rnacentral:rRNA from 1 species
GCGCGAAACCUCCACAAUGUACGGAAGUACGAUGGGGUUACCUCGAGUGCAGUCCGAUAAGGGUUGCUUUUCCAUAGAGUAAUAUCCUGUGGGAAUAAGAGGGGGGCAAGACUGGUGUCAGCCGCCGCGGUAACACCAGCCCCUCGAGUGGUGGGGACUUUUUAUUUGGCCUAAAGCGUCCGUAGCCGGCUGUGUCCGUCCUCCGUUAAAUCCAGCGUCCUAAGCGUUGGACCGCGGGCGAUACCAAACAGCUAGAGGGUGGGAUAGGUAAGCGGUAUUUCUGGGGUAGGGCGAAAUCCUUUGAUCCUAGGAGGACCACCAGUGGCGAAGGCUGCUUACUGGAACACGCCUGACGGUCAGGGACGAAAGCUGGGGUAGCGAACCGGAUUAGAUACCCGGGUAGUCCCAGCUGUAAACGAUGCUCGCUAGGUGUUGGGUCGGCCACGUGCCGCCCCAGUGCCGCAGGGAAGCCGUUAAGCGAGCCGCCUGGGGAGUACGGCCGCAAGGCUGAAACUUAAAGGAAUUGGCGGGGGAGCACCACCAGG